CGCCUGUUUAUCAAAAACAUCUUUUCUUGUUAGUUUUUGAAGUAUGGCCUGCCCGCUGACUUUGGUGUUGAAGGGCCGCGGUAUUUUGACCGUGCAAAGGUAGCAUAGUCAUUAGUUCUUUAAUUGUGAUCUGGUAUGAAUGGCUUGACGAGGCAUGGGCUGUCUUAAUUUUGAAUUGCUUAUUGAAUUUGGUCUUUGAGUUAAAAUUCUUAGAUGUUUUUAUGGGACGAGAAGACCCUAUAGAGUUUGACAUUUAUUAUGGUCUCUUUCUGUUUGUGAGGGUUCACUGGGCCAUUUAAUAUGUUUUGUUGGGGUGAUGGGAGGGAUAUAAUUUAACCCCUCCUUUGUGUUUUUAUAUUUAUUUAUAUUUGUUUGAUCCAUUUAUUUUGAUUGUAAGAUUAAAUUACCUUAGGGAUAACAGCGUAA
rnacentral:rRNA from 1 species